GAUGAACGCUGGCGGCGUGCCUAAUACAUGCAAGUCGAGCGAACGGACGAGAAGCUUGCUUUUCUGAUGUUAGCGGCGGACGGGUGAGUAACACGUGGAUAACCUACCUAUAAGACUGGGAUAACUUCGGGAAACCGGAGCUAAUACCGGAUAAUAUUUUGAACCGCAUGGUUCAAAAGUGAAAGACGGUCUUGCUGUCACUUAUAGAUGGAUCCGCGCUGCAUUAGCUAGUUGGUAAGGUAGCGGCUUACCAAGGCAACGAUGCAUAGCCGACCUGAGAGGGUGAUCGGCCACACUGGAACUGAGACACGGUCCAGACUCUUACGGGAGGCAGCAGUAGGGAAUCUUCCGCAAUGGGCGAAAGCCUGACGGAGCAACGCCGCGUGAGUGAUGAAGGUCUUCGGAUCGUAAAACUCUGUUAUUAGGGAAGAACAUAUGUGUAAGUAACUGUGCACAUCUUGACGGUACCUAAUCAGAAAGCCACGGCUAACUACGUG
rnacentral:rRNA from 1 species